AUUUUCCCCCCAUUUUUUUCAUUUCCCUCUUCACUCUCCCUCUAUUUUCUUUUUCUUCUCAUUCUCACACUUCCCUCUUCAGACCCUAUUCUUUCUCACUCCUUUCCUCCAAACCUGUGUCUACUGCUCAUUUCAUUUCUCACUCCUCUCUUCCAAAGUGGAUUUUCUGGUCAUUCCGCCAGAUCUACUGCUCAUUUCGUCGUCGUUCGUGUGUCUCCGUCGGAUCUGCUGUUCGUUUUGUCGUCGUUCGUGUGUCUCCAAAUCUGCUGUCGUCGAUCGCCAGAUCUACCGCCGUUGUCGUUCGUCGUUCGUUCCGUCUUCGUUCUGUUGCCGUCGUCGUUGAAUCUUUUCAUUUGCUUUGGGUUUGAAACAGAUCUCUGAGUUUUGAAUGAAUACCAGCAGAUUCAAUCUUUUUCUGCAUUUAACAGCAUCUUCAAUAACACGGGACUGUUUGGAAUUUAUGCUAGCACUGGUUCUGACUUUGUGGCCCAAGCAGUUGAUAUUGCUGCAUCAGAACUAAUCUCAAUUGCAAAUCCUAGACAAGUUUCGGAGGUGCAGCUUAACGUCCUCGUAGUUAUGGUGGUAGAAAUAUUUAUGGAAGAAGUCGAAAUAGGUAUUCAAGCUACACAAACAAAUGCGAUUGGUCACCUGAUAAGCGAUACCGGAGCCCACCUCGAGGCAGGAGCCCUCCAAGGUUUCCUCUCUCUCUUUUGUGUCUCCCACACACAGUCACAUGAACACAGAGACGUUGAUAAAUCCCUUGUAUGGGCACCUAUUUUGCUCUUAAGGUCUCAUUUUCCUAGAACUGCUGCAUGUAGUCUUUUAGUAAAACUUGAUAUGAAGAAUAUAUAUUACCAUAAAACUUAAAAACAAUCAAUAGUUACACCUAAGAAAGUUAAUUAUUUUAAAAAUGCAAUGGACUAGCGUAGUUGGCUAGAGAAAAUAGUACUCGUUUGUAGUAUCAAUUGUGUCUCCGCCGAAGCGCCACAACCACGCUUGCAAUGAAGAGGUGAGUAAACAUAUUGCAAUGAAUUAUUUCUCUUAAGGCCAUUGGCCUCUUUAUAGUUUAGAUUGGAUUAGAAUGUAAACAUAUUGGAUUAGAAUAUAACACCCGUUUAUGGCUCAUGGGUACUAUUUAUUUUUAGUUUAGAUUUGAUUCAAGGUUCUUGAGUUCGUGGGUUGCACUAUGGUAGAUUGUGGUUAUUCAUGCACUAUGGUAGUUUGUGUGACAACUUUUGAGAUUUAAAGUACAUUGUGAGCUAAAUUUGCUUAUUGAUAUAUGUGUUCUUGAAUAUUCAUUUUUUGGGAAUUCUGAUAAUUCUGUUGAGAACAAGUGGUUGUGAAAUAUUUUUAGGAGUGUGUUUCUUUAAACAGGUUCAGGGUAAAUUUUUGGUUUUGUUGUGGUAGCAUCGUUAUGUUGCCGAAAAUUUUCCAUCAUCUUCGUUUCUUAUAUCUAGGUAACCAAGCUUCUCUUCUUCAAGAUCUUGAAAAAUAAGAUUCUCUCAUUUAUUCAACUAUUAAGUUUUCUUGUU